UGCGUAGGCGGCCAAACAAGUCAGAUGUGAAAUGCCUCUGCUUAACGGAGGACUUGCAUAUGAAACUGUAUGGCUUGAGUGCAGGAGAGGAAAGCGGAAUUCCUAGUGUAGCGGUGAAAUGCAUAGAUAUUAGGAGGAACACCAGUGGCGAAGGCGGCUUUCUGGACUGUAACUGACGCUGAGGCACGAAAGCGUGGGGAGCAAACA
rnacentral:rRNA from 1 species